CGCGUAGGCGGCUUUGUAAGUCUGGAGUGAAAGUCCUCUUUUCAAGGGAGGAAUUGCUUUGGAAACUAUAGAGCUUGAGUGCAGGAGAGGUUAUCGGAAUUCCCGGUGUAGCGGUGAGAUGCGUAGAUAUCGGGAGGAACAUCGGUGGCGAAGGCGGGUAACUGGACUGCAACUGACGCUGAGGCGCGAAAGUGUGGGGAGCAAACA
rnacentral:rRNA from 1 species